rnacentral:tRNA from 1 species
UAGGUCUUAUAUUUUAUAAAAAUUAUUAAAUUGCAAAUUUAAAGAUGUGUUUUCUAAGACUUAU